rnacentral:rRNA from 1 species
GAUGAACGCUGGCGGCGUGCCUAAUACAUGCCAGUCGAGCGAACGGACGAGAAGCUUGCUUCUCUGGUGUUAGCGGCGGACGGGUGAGUAACACGUGGAUAACCUACCUAUAAGACUGGGAUAACUUCGGGAAACCGUAGCUAAUACCGGAUAAUAUUUUGAACCGCAUGGUUCAAAAGUGAAAGACGGUCUUGCUGUCACUUAUAGAUGGAUCCGCGCUGCAUUAGCUAGUUGGUAAGGUAACGGCUUACCAAGGCAACGAUGCAUAGCCGACCUGAGAGGGUGAUCGGCCACACUGGAACUGAGACACGGUCCAGACUCCUACGGGAGGCAGCAGUAGGGAAUCUUCCGCAAUGGGCGAAAGCCUGACGGAGCAACGCCGCGUGAGUGAUGAAGGUCUUCGGAUCGUAAAACUCUGUUAUUAGGGAAGAACAUAUGUGUAAGUAACUGUGCACAUCUUGACGGUACCUAAUCAGAAAGCCACGGCUAACUACGUG